rnacentral:rRNA from 1 species
UACGUAGGGGGCAAGCGUUGUCCGGAAUCAUUGGGCGUAAAGCGCGUGUAGGCGGCUAGGUAAGUCUGCUCUGAAAGCCCGGGGCUCAACCCCGGGAGGCGGGUGGAUACUGUCUAGCUCGAGUCCGGAAGAGGAGUGUGGAAUUCCUGGUGUAGCGGUGAAAUGCGCAGAUAUCGGGAGGAACACCAGUGGCGAAGGCGGCGAUCUGGGAAGAUACUGACGCCGAGGUGCGAAAGCGUGGGGAGCAAACAGG